CCACGCCAGUAAAAUGACCCUUCAGUCUCGUCGGGCUGCAGGAAGAGGACAGUCUGCUGCGACAUGGAGGCAGACGCACCAACAGGGAACUGAACCUGAACCCACAAACGGACUCUGCUGACAUGGAUACGACCGUUGCCAUCUUCGCCUGGUGCCUUCUGGCUCUUUCUCCUCUGGCACAAACAGGAAAUAACACUUCAACUGUUCCACCGCCAACAUCUCCUUUCAACCUGACAGAUGUGACAACAACCUCACCUAACUCUACAGUAAAUGCAACCGCUGCUUCAUUUCCGACUGAGGGCUCGACGCAGUCUGCCGACACGAGCCCGGCUCCGGCCGCCGGCAGCACGGAAAGCUCAACUGAGAGCACGAGUUACUCUGAGAUUCCUCAGUCAUCCACCAGCUUGUCUAAUGUGACAAACUCAACAACUACCGCUGAAUCGUCACGGCUGAAUUUAACAACAGCAGACGCAAACCAGACCACCGUCAUCCAGACAACCACAUCUGCUGCUUCACAUUCAUCUCAAACUGUCGCCACGACUUCAGUUUCAGAGAACAAAACCACACAAGGUUUAGGGUUGAAUCCCUCCGAAAAGAGAAUGACAAUCGUCUUCAGCGUUGUUCUGGGAACGGUUGUUGCGAUUAUGAUGAUCAUGUUGACGUUCCACAAAUGCAAACACAAAAUCCAGUACUUGCAUCAACCCCUUAGCAAUGCGGACAACUCAGAUGGGUUUUCGGUGGACGGUGACACUCUUGUGAUUUCCGGAGGACUUUAUGACGGCCAUCCCAUCUAUGAUAAUGUACCACCGCCCUCUGAAGACCAGUCUCAAUUCCGACUUGAGUUUCUCCAUUAAACAAAAUCCCUGCAGUUCGAAGUAUCUUGUUUGCUGCUUGACAAAAACAAUGUUCAUCAAAAACUACACUUUUACAGAGAUGGAUUGAGCGGUCAUGGACACAAGCUUCAAAUAUCUAAAACUGGGUAAAUUGAAUAUUGUUUUCACCUCUACUGCAUCACUGUCAAUACAAGGACACUUUAGUAACAACAACACCUUCUCCAACACCAACAACACAAACUUGAACAAAAAUUAAAAGCUGGAGAAAUCAACAGUAACCCAGAAAACAUCUUCUACACUGUAACAAAGAGUUUGAAAUUAUCUUUUACAUCUGUGGACAAAGACACAAAAAAGUUAAACAAUAACACUGAACUUUUUGUACUAUUCAUUCCAGUCUAUUUGGUCAUAAAAAUAUAAUCUACGCAUGUUAAACUCUCAGGGCUAUCAAUGUAAACUUGUUUAAUUUUAGUAUUGUGAAUCGUGUAUGUAUAUGCAAUAGAGCUGCUCAAGCAAAGAUCUUCUCACUGGUCUUUUGUUGUCCGAGCUUUUAACAGCAGUCCAACCCUCAGCUCUCAAUGUUUUCAUUGCAGCCAGAUUUAAGAAAGAUUAAGAUUCUUCAUAAUUCACUAUUAGCAUGACCCUGAAUCUAAAGGAAAGCAUGUUUUAAAGAAGUGGCAAG